CCUACGGGUGGCUGCAGUGAGGAAUAUUGCACAAUGGGCGCAAGCCUGAUGCAGCCAUGCCGCGUGUGUGAAGAAGGCCUUCGGGUUGUAAAGCACUUUCAGCGGGGAGGAAGGCGGUGAGGUUAAUAACCUCAUCGAUUGACGUUACCCGCAGAAGAAGCACCGGCUAACUCCGUGCCAGCAGCCGCGGUAAUACGGAGGGUGCAAGCGUUUAAUCGGAAUUACUGGGCGUAAAGCGCACGCAGGCGGUCUGUCAAGUCGGAUGUGAAAUCCCCGGGCUCAACCUGGGAACUGCAUUCGAAACUGGCAGGCUAGAGUCUUGUAGAGGGGGGUAGAAUUCCAGGUGUAGCGGUGAAAUGCGUAGAGAUCUGGAGGAAUACCGGUGGCGAAGGCGGCCCCCUGGACAAAGACUGACGCUCAGGUGCGAAAGCGUGGGGAGCAAACAGGAUUAGAUACCCCUGUAGUC
rnacentral:rRNA from 1 species